rnacentral:rRNA from 1 species
UGGGGAAUUUUGGACAAUGGGCGAAAGCCUGAUCCAGCAAUGCCGCGUGUGUGAAGAAGGCCUUCGGGUUGUAAAGCACUUUUGUCCGGAAAGAAAUCCUUGGCUCUAAUACAGUCGGGGGAUGACGGUACCGGAAGAAUAAGCACCGGCUAACUACGUGCCAGCAGCCGCGGUAAUACGUAGGGUGCAAGCGUUAAUCGGAAUUACUGGGCGUAAAGCGUGCGCAGGCGGUUUGCUAAGACCGAUGUGAAAUCCCCGGGCUCAACCUGGGAACUGCAUUGGUGACUGGCAGGCUAGAGUAUGGCAGAGGGGGGUAGAAUUCCACGUNUAGCAGUGAAAUGCGUAGAGAUGUGGAGGAAUACCGAUGGCGAAGGCAGCCCCCUGGGCAAUACUGACGCUCAUGCACGAAAGCGUGGGGAGCAAACAGGAUUAGAUACCCCUGGUAGUCCACGCCCUAAACGAUGUC